rnacentral:rRNA from 1 species
GACGAACGCUGGCGGCGUGCUUAACACAUGCAAGUCGAGCGACUGCAUUCUUUUCGGAGGGUGUAUGGAGCGGCGAACGGGUGAGUAGCACGUGAGUAAUCUGCCUUUGACUUGGGAAUAACUUCGGGAAAUCGGGGCUAAUGCCUGAUGUUUACUGUCUGCUGCAUGGUGGUGGUGGAAAGAUUUUUUGGCCAGGAUGAGCUCGCGGUCUAUCAGCNGUUGGUGGGGUAAGUGGCUUACCAAGGCUUUGACGGGUAGCCGGCCUGAGAGGGUGUUCGGCCACACUGGACUGAGACACGGCCCUUAGACUCCGUACGGGAGGCAGCAGUGGGGAUAUUGCGCAAUGGGCGUAAGCCUGACGCAGCGACGCCGCGU